UAAUUUUGGUUUUAUAAUUGUAAUUAUUCAAAGUUAUUAGUGGUUGUGGGAACAUUGGAUAUUAUUAUAUAUUUUAGUUAACAAAUAUACAUGAAUGGAUCGUUUUUAUUUUUUUUAUUAAUAGACCCAUAAAUAGAUCUUUCCUCGCGUUUACAAACAUAUACUUUAUGAUAUUCAAUUGUGUGUUUCAAGAGUACCCAAAAUUUAUUUUUCAAAUUUUAUGUUUCAAAAACAGCCUUGUAUAAGGCCUUAA
rnacentral:lncRNA from 1 species